CUUUUUUUUUUAAAGACCAGCUAUGCAGCUUCUUUCAUGGCCUAUUUUUAUUAUCUCCUUCUCUUAAAUCUGGGCUCAGAAUCCACGAUCCCUAUGAUUGUAACAAGAACAAUCAAGCUUUGAAGAUAGUGGACUUUUCCUACAGUGUUGACCUUAGGGUGCAGCUGGAUGUUUUUACCCUCAGCGGCUUUCGGACUGUACAGAUCCUGGAAGGACAAAAGAUCCUGGCUAACUGUUCUUCUCCCUACCAGGUAGACCUGUUUGGUAUAGCAGAUUUAGCACAUUUACUAUUGUUCAAGGAACACCUACAGGUCUUCUGGGAUGGGUCCUUCUGGAAACUUAGCCAAAAUAUUUCUGAGCUAAAAGAUGGUGAAUUGUGGAAUAAAUUCUUUGUGCGGAUUCUGAAUGCCAAUGAUGAGGCCACAGUGUCUGUUCUUGG
rnacentral:lncRNA from 1 species